rnacentral:lncRNA from 1 species
AUAUAUAUGACGCACAUAUUUCCGGAUUUGAAACGAACUCAACAGAUUCUCUCAAAUUUUAAUCUCAAACCUUUUCGUUUCAUUCUUUUGUUAUUUCCAGCCAUAUUUGGCUUGCUGUGUAUAUUGUUUGUUUUUGAGCAGCAAAUGGCAAAGUCAUUUGUUCUAAACAGAUUGGCAGUUCAAACUAAAGGAUACUGAACGACGUAAUAAGGAAUUGUUGCUUUCAUUAAGAUUGACAAGCCACACAUAAGAUAAUUUUCGUCUGUUCCCUAUUUCUAAUUUAAAAUUAUUUGAUAACCUAUGGCGUACUGGGGUUCAUUAAAUGUUAUGUAUUACCAUCUAGCAUAGCGGAAAAUUUCAUGUUUACCAUUUAGAUGAAUCUGCGUUCUAAACUUUGAUGAUUUUAUGAUAAUAUUGUCUGUGAUGGGUACUCAUAGAUAAAGUCAUUUUGGUUUCAGUAGUGGAUUACGAUACUUAACUGCAGAUAAAUCGAUAGUUGGUUUUAGGUGCAGCUGGAAAAAAGCACGAUGUACAUUGUAAGUGAAAAGCACAACUAGUUCACCAUGAAGUAAAACAAUUUUAAAAUAUCUGUUAUAUAAGUUUGAAGGUCUUAAGAUUCCUUGUUAUUGCAGCCAAAGCAAAUAAAAUAAUAAUAAAAUCAUAUUUUGAAUCUAGAUAAAAUACUUAC